CCCCGCCGCGGGGCUCCACAGGAGCGCGGCAGCGCGAGCAGGGGGGCCGCGGGACGGGACACGACGGGACGCGACGGGACAGGGCACGCCGGCAGCCGUCAGGAGGGCAGAGAGAGAGUUUCCAAUCGCUGCAGACCCCGCUGGGAGCCCAGGUCCUCGCUGGCACCUACCAAAGCUGCCAGGAAAGGACGGCGGCUCAGCAUCACGGUUUGACUCCAGCGAGACGCAGGACUGCUGCCCCCUCGACUCUCUGCCUUUGGAGGUGCCGGCAAGAAGCAGCCAGAGGCCAGCGCGCCUGCGCCGGGGACCCCGCGAGCUGCGAGAUUUCCAAGAACUGCAUUUUGAACACGCACUUGCCUCACGUGCACACUUAGCGCUGACUGCUCCAGGUGCUUUCCGGCCAGCUCUCCCUGAGGAGCUCCAGCAGGGCAGCGACCCCGCUGGCACGCGCCGGACAGCAUACUGUCUGCCUGACGUCCCCACGCACCGUCCCUGGCCGAGACCAGAAAUGCUGCUGAGCCUCUGGACCAGACUUGAACAUGUUCCUAAACGUCUAGUGGGACCUUGCAAACUGGCUGAGUGCUACUAAUCUUUUCUUUUAGGCAGCUGUUUCAGGAGGGUGCCAUAAUACCACUGCCUGCACCACAGCUGAGAGAGCUGCCACUGGAUCUAGUACGAGUAGGAAGAAAGACUGUCAGGUGGUUAAAGGAAUCAGGAGAUCAGGCUUCUCCUCCCAACUCUGCUUCUGAGUCAUUAUUAGCAUAAAAUCAGGUUUGUUACAUCACUGAAGCUUGAGUAAAUAAACCAAGACUCAUCACUGUUUUAUUUUGCAAUACCUCAGUGGGCUCCUCUCUGUACAAAUAAACACCAUUAAUGUU